rnacentral:rRNA from 1 species
CUUCCUACGGGAGGCAGCAGUGGGGAAUAUUGCACAAUGGGGGAAACCCUGAUGCAGCGACGCCGCGUGAGUGAAGAAGUAUUUCGGUAUGUAAAGCUCUAUCAGCAGGGAAGAAAAUGACGGUACCUGACUAAGAAGCCCCGGCUAACUACGUGCCAGCAGCCGCGGUAAUACGUAGGGGGCAAGCGUUAUCCGGAUUUACUGGGUGUAAAGGGAGCGUAGACGGCAGCGCAAGUCUGAAGUGAAAUCCCAUGGCUUGACCAUGGAACUGCUUUGGAAACUGUGCGGCUGGAGUGCAGGAGAGG